GCGACAACGUUUACGGAAGGUCGCGCUGUUUCGCAUCCCCGCAGAAAUUUUGCCGCUUAUUGCUUAUUAAUCGUAAUUCGUGUGAAAGUAAAAUCGUCUUGAAAAAAUAAUCUAUCAAAGUUGAAUCAAAUCAGAAUAAAAGUUAGAGAAAAAAAAGGAAAAAUAUCCCGAGCGCCAACCAAACGAAAAAAAACCCAACCCGCUACCCUCACACCACGUGUCGACACACGGUGAUCGGAGACGAGAUCGUGACGAGCGAGAGGAGAGCCAAGAAAACGGCACGAAAGCACAGCAGCAAGUAGUGUUUUUGGCCGCGCCGCAUCUCGCCGCUAUCCGUUUGAACCGGUGUGGACAAUUUAGUCCGCGCGCUCUCUUGCCGAAGACAUCAUCCCUGUGUCCUUGUUCGCCGCCAUCAGCACCUCCCGUGCAGUUUUGCAGCCGGUUAAGAAUUCGGAAAAAAGACGAUCGGCUUCAAAUUCAACCGCGAGUGCAAUUGAGGCAGUGUUGAACCACGCACACUAAAGAAAUAAAUCCACCCCAUCCAAGUCGCCGCAGUACCGACGCGUUUCCAGAGCUCAUCAUAGUUGGCAUCGAUCUCGCAGAAGCUGCUGCUAGUCCCGAGCUCGGUGUAGACAGCUUUUUGGACGGCUCCCAAAAACAUCCACAAGAACCGCGCAUCACAGUCCUCUCCUCCACAGCCAGCUAGCGAGCUAGAGACACUCUCCCCCACUCUCCUAUUCGCCAGAUCAUCAUAAAUAGCGCCGCUACCGCCGCCGCCACAUCUCUGAAAACCCCAAACUGCACACUCGAAUCGCUUCCCGCUUCAUAGCGCUCGCUCGCAGUAGUCGCCUCCCGAAACGGAAGUUGUGCGAAGUUUUUAGCGAAAUCGCAGCAAGCAUUUCAAACGGAAAUCGUGAGUGAGAGAACAUCCACCGGACAAUCAUCAACGCAAUUCGUCGCGU